rnacentral:rRNA from 1 species
UACGUAGGGGGCAAGCGUUGUCCGGAUUCACUGGGCGUAAAGGGUGCGUAGGUGGUCGUGUAAGUCUGACGUGAAAUCUCCGAGCUUAACUCGGAAAUGGCGUUGGAUACUAUUCGGCUGGAGGGUUGGAAGGGGGACUGGAAUUCUCGGUGUAGCAGUGAAAUGCGUAGAUAUCGGGAGGAACAUCUGUGGCGAAGGCGACACCCUGGACCAGCACUGACACUGAGGCACGAAAGCGUGGGGAGCAAACAGG